rnacentral:rRNA from 1 species
ACGCACGCUGGCGGCGUGCUUCACCCCUGCCAGUCGCACGGUGAAGCUCCAGCUUGCUGGAGUGGAUCAGUGGCGAACGGGUGAGUAACACGUGAGCAACCUGCCCCUGACUCUGGAAUAAGCGCUGGAAACGGCGUCUAAUACUGGAUACGAGAAGGGUCCGCAUGGGCACUUUCUGGAAAGUUUUUCGGUUGGGGAUGGGCUCGCGGCCUAUCAGCUUGUUGGUGAGGUAAUGGCUCACCAAGGCGACGACGGGUAGCCGGCCUGAGAGGGCGACCGGCCACACUGGGACUGAGACACGGCCCAGACUCCUACGGGAGGCAGCAGUGGGGAAUAUUGCACAAUGGGCGAAAGCCUGAUGCAGCGACGCCGCGUGAGGGAUGACGGCCUUCGGGUUGUAAACCUCUUUCAGCAGGGAAGAAGCGAAAGUGACGGUACCUGCAGAAGAAGCACCGGCUAACUACGUG